CCGACGGUGUACUUUGCCUCCUCCAGAGCCCAGCUAAACCUCUGGAGCUCCUUCUUGGGGCAGCUGCCGUCAUCCCUAACCCUAAGUUCCGAGGGUUUUACGUCGCAAAAAACCGGAAUGACCCUCUUCUUGGAAUCCAUGAGAAGAGCCAGUUCAUGGAGGCAGAAGUAGGAGUGGCAGUACCGUGGCGAGAACACGGCGAUACCGACUUUGCAGUCUCGUAUCGCCGGGUCAAUAGUAUCGAAUAGCUUGUCGCCGGGCUUCAUGUUCUUGCUGUCCAAGAAAGGACGCAGCCCUAGAUUGCUUCUCAAAUGAUCGUAAAGCAACCCGGCCACGGUUCGUUUCGUGUCGAUACUCCGGUGGCUGAUGAAGACGUCGCAGGGCUGUCUCACCUCCUGGAUUUGGGGCCGGUGCCGGAGAAGAACUUGACGGCACAUGGUCUUGGCUGGCAAACGCUGCAUGGUCACAACCUAGAGCUCCAAGAAGCUGCUGCUUAAAUUAAUGUUAAGAUGAUUUUUGAUCGAUGACCAGUUUGAGUUUGAUUUCAAGGGAGACGAAAGAAUUCUACACAUUCGUUUGCAGAGAAAGGGAGAUUGGACCCUCAAAAUGGAUGCGGGGAAUUUUAUAUUGUUGGAAGACAAAAAGGGACAUCUUGAGAUCGAGCUUAGUAAGCUUCGGGGCAGGGUGAUAGCUAGUUUUUGUGAGUGUAUGUAAGAACUCUAAUGUAUUUAAGUUACGACUAAUGUUCCUGGAUAUGUAGUAUUGUUGGAUGGACCAUGUUGGGUUCUGUAUUUUAUUAUGGUUUGUGAUAUGAGAAUUCAGAAACUUCCAUGUAUGAUAAUAGUUUAGAACUCUGGUGAUA